ACGGAGGCAGUAUGACCUCUGAAACGUUAACAUCGACCAGACUACACAGCGCAACAACCCAGAAGACAGAAAUCUUCAUCAUCAUUAUCGUCAUGAAUUUUCAUCAGAAGUGUUCUUCGCAAACGAUAUAAGUAGCAAACUGAAGGCUAUGUUGGUAUGAUAUUGCCACCUGAAAUUUUAUUUUGUUUCAGAGUUGCGACAUGAGGUUUUACGUAAUGCGUAACAAAUAGUGUGAAGUUAGUUUUCGUACACUGAGUGUUAUAUUAAUGAAUCGAAGACUUCCUUCGUAGAUGAUAAAAAGAUCAUUUGUGGAAGAAUUGCAGCUGCAGAUAUUGUACCAGGUAAUUCGUAGAGUUGCUAGUAAGUUUUCUCAUUUUAUGAUGUGCUUGUACAGUAAUAUUGAAUGUGACCUGGUAAUAAAGGCUGUAAUUACGCCUGGUUUCUAGCGUCCAAAUUAACAUUGCAGUGUUUAUUCUUGUCACUAAUUUUCGUUUUUCACGUCCAAUUCAUUUUACAAACACAUAAUUUUUAUGUUCAUUAUAGUUCGCAUAAAGUCAUAAAGAACCUCUGUAGGAAGAUUUGAACUGGGUACUUUCUGAUUACAAGGCUCGAAAAUUUACCUUUACAACAAAAGGUAUUACAUGGACACACCAGAACUGAAUGUUGGCAGCUUUUCACAUGAAUGCAGCACCUCUUUCAGUAGCUUUGCAGAGAUUAUCCGUGCUUUUUGUAAGGACAGUGACGUAGUAAUCUGUGACAGAAACUGCCAAUUCACGUUUGUGUUCAGUUGAAGGUAGUAAGGAGUGGUUUGUUACAGGUCUCGUUGUUAUAAGAAUUUAUCAAAUGUUUAUUAGCCUCGUUAAGGAUAAUAUAUACAGUAAAUAACUCCAUUUGACAAGUGAAGUGAGAGAUAUGUGAUUCUGACGGCGGUGGGGAUGUCCAAAACCACGUGACGUGACCAGAAGUACAACACUGGCAAUUUAUGCCUUGCUCCUACGAAUGCAACCACAUUCUAAAAGAAUAAAAAAAACACCGCAAAUAAGUUUUCUGUGUCUUACAGAUGAGGUGAUACGAACACUGCUUUUAACUCAUUAAUAACGAGCAUUGUCUGAAUUUCGCUUCGCGUAAGUUAUUAAUGAUUCUUGUUUGUUCUCGUCACCCGACUUGUUUAUACGUCGAGUUACAUUUGAGAAGCAACCGAGACUACGACAGUAUUUGCGGGCUUUUGUUAACAUCAGUGCGACAGCACAAAUGAGUCGUUCUUUAGCUUGUAUUUGUUAGGAGGAACCGACACCGUGCCUUUAAAGCAGGCACUGAAAAUGUCCACCAUUUCUCGAACACAACCAUCCAGCCUUAUUAAUGCGUUUCUUUUGACUCCGUGAAGUGUUCCUGAUGAUGGCAGCAGUCUGUUCAAUAUCGUGUUUUAGAAAACAGCAGAAAACGAUUUCAGUGAGAAGUAAUGUUUGAGAUUAAGAAUGCGAUUUGCUCAUGAAUGCACACAAAUUUUGCGCAAUUAUCGUGAGCCAGAUACGAG